rnacentral:rRNA from 1 species
UGGGGAAUUUUGGACAAUGGGCGCAAGCCUGAUCCAGCCAUGCCGCGUGCGGGAAGAAGGCCUUCGGGUUGUAAACCGCUUUUGUCAGGGAAGAAAUCUUCUGAGUUAAUACCUCGGGAGGAUGACGGUACCUGAAGAAUAAGCACCGGCUAACUACGUGCCAGCAGCCGCGGUAAUACGUAGGGGUGCAAGCGUUAAUCGGAAUUACUGGGCGUAAAGCGUGCGCAGGCGGUUUUGUAAGACAGAGGUGAAAUCCCCGGGCUCAACCUGGGAACUGCCUUUGUGACUGCAAGGCUUGAGUGCGGCAGAGGGGGAUGGAAUUCCGCGUGUAGCAGUGAGAUGCGUAGAUAUGCGGAGGAACACCGAUGGCGAAGGCAAUCCCCUGGGCCUGCACUGACGCUCAUGCACGAAAGCGUGGGGAGCAAACAGGAUUAGAUACCCCUGGUAGUCCACGCCCUAAACGUGUCAACUGGUUGUUGGGAAGGUUCCUUCUCAGUAACGUAGCUAACGCGUGAAGUUGACCG